CCGGAGGCCCCUGUGCAGUCAGUCCCGUGCCCUCCUCCUCUUCAUCACUUCUGCUGAUCUCCUCCCGGCUGCAGACCCCCCUUCACAGCAUCCCUGAAUGGGGUGAAAUGUAAGGAGACAGGCUGCAUGAGAGGAUGAGGAUCUGCUGACAAAUUAAGAAACCAAUGAUGUUCUGGCAUCAGACUCUGCAGAGAAGAUGGAGUUGGAAGACGUCCUGGUGUCUGGACCAGAUGGAGAAGAAAAGAAAAGACAACAGAGAAGACGUCACUCAGGAAUGCAGAAGCAAACAAAGGAGCAUAGACCGUAAAUAUCAGAAGACGUACUAAAAUAGGUGUAAAUACUCGGAGACAUUUGUCCAUCACCUGAAACUUCAGAGACUGCAGCUUUUCCCAACCUAAUGUGAAAUUGAUACUCACAAAGCUUACCCAAAUGCUGAGUACACAGAUAAUGGAACAGGUUAUUUAUAGCAGCCGGAGAAUGUUCUGAGAAAGCUGUCCCCUCCCUGUCUUCCUGUACCAGUCCACAUUUUCUCAUUGUUUCCAGACAGCAAACUUGAUGUAUUAACUCUAUUAUUCCUGAUUCUGAGUGAUACACA